AAAAACUUAGUUAAAUUAAUAACAUUAGUUUGUCAAACUAAAAUUAUCAAAAAGAUAGUUUUUU
rnacentral:tRNA from 1 species